rnacentral:tRNA from 1 species
GAGGGUAUAGCUCAGUGAUAGAGCACAUGCUUAGCAUGCGCGAGGUCGUGGGUUCAAUCCCCAGUACCUGCA